AGUAUCGUCUUUAUAUCACCUCUGCUAGAUACAAGUAUCAUCACCUCCAAGCAGAAGAAACUGAAGCACGGAUAUUAGGUAACUGGGCCAAGGUCACAGGUAAGCUGGGAACCCAACCUUCUGCAGGCAGUUCUUGCCCUUGGGCCAGUACGUUUUUCAGAACGCGAGGAGGUGAUGAUUAUGAUGAAGUAAUCUAUCUACAUGACUCGGGGUUUUCACUGUUGUCAAAGCGUGGAGCUUCAUUUCCAAAAGGAUCCGGGGUAGUCAUCUGCCAGCUUUGUUCAAACUUGUGAACAAGAGCGUUCGACAAAACUCUCCCCUCAUUAAUCUGACUCUUUCCAGCAACCGGAAAGGUCUCUAGAAAUCCUUCUCUGAACUGCACUCAAAAUGAGGGAGUUAAGCUGAAAGCGACUUUGGGAAAGGGGUCCUGGUGCAAGCCUCUAGCUACGUAUGCCAUCUUCGGUUGCAGCAUCGUGAGGGGUGCCCAGAUCAGAGCAGAAACCAGCCAAGGUGGCAGAGUCUGUAGGAAGAGCCGAAGACUGAAGUGGGACAGCGCCUACCUAAACUACACACAGGCACUUAAAGGGCUGCUCUCACGUGACCCAGCGCCCCGCAUCCGGGCCGCGCACGGACCCGCAGCACCCCUGAAUCACCUCGGCUGCAGCAGCAGGAUCGGGACCCGCCGCAACUGGUUCCUGUCCACCGCAGCCAACAACGCCGCCGCCGCCAUCUCCGCGCUGUUCUGCUGGAUUCCAAAAACUGCUUGGCUUAUUCGUGAAAGCGUCCCUCCCUGCGCAGGCUUCUUGCCCCAGGUCCGCCACCGUAGCUCCGAAGAGCAAGUGGGCGUCUCCGCAAGAGCCAAUCAUGGAACUGGGUGUUUCAAAGCUAGAUUGUCCUUGCUGCAUGAGACCCACCUGCCACAGUUGAGAAAGAAUGGAGCGAGGCCAGCUCAGUAUCACAGAUGCUGGAAGGCUGCCAAGCCACUCACAGACUUGACUUCAAUUUCCAUUGGAAAGCUGUCAUAGGAGAAGCUAACAGGUGAUCUUCCUGAGAUGACUGCCUUGGAUUAAAAAUCUACAAUGGAAUUCCAAGCACACAGAGAAGACAGUAGCUGACCACAUCUGAGCUAGUGCCCUUUGCUGUGGGCUGAGCCCUACUACUGCCUAAGCAGAAAUUCAACUCAACAAGGCAAACUGAGACAAGUGAGUAGACAUACAACAAACAAGAGUGUGCCUGAUAAAGUCCUGCACACAAAUACCCCAACCAAACCUCCCCGAAAAGAGUGCCACCAACUGGGAAACAAAUGGUCAAGUAUGGGGGACAUUUCUUAUUCAAAACAUUGUCAAUUGGUGAAUAUGGGUUAUUGAAAUCGCCCACUUUUACUGUGUUGGGAUCAAUCUGUGUUUUUAGAUCUACCAGUUCUUCUUUUAUGAAAUGGGGUGGCCCUGUAUUUGAUGUACACGUGUUUAUUAAUGUAGUGUACUGUUGGUAGAUUUCCUUUUUCUUUGAGGAGAAUGAAGAAUCUCUCUGCCUUUGUUUGGGUUUUACUGCUGUGAACAGAUACCAUGACCAAGGCAACUAUUACAAGGACAACAUUUAAUUGGAGUUGGCUUGCAGGUUCAGAGGUUCAGUCCAUUAUCAUCAAGGUGGGAGCAUGGCAGCGCCCAGUCAGGAAUGGUGCUGGAGGAGCUGAGAAUUCAACAUCUUGUUUUGAAGGCAAACAGCUGAAGACUGGCUUCCAGGCAGCUAGGAUGAAGGUCUUAAAGCCCAUGCCCGCAGGGACACACCUGCUCCAACAAGGCCACACCUCCUAAUAGUGUCACUCCCUGGGCCAAGCAUAUACAAACCAUCACAAGCUCCUUACCUCUUUUGGCUAGUUUUGGGUUGAAGUCUGGUUUAUCAGACAUUAGAAUGUGUUUACAUUUUAGUUUCUUUUGUUUUGAAUAUUUUUUUUUGCAUCUUUUACUCUAAAGUGAUGUCUAUUUUGAUAUGAGGCAUGUUUCUUAGAGGCAGAAAAAAUAGAUCCCAUUUCUUAAUCCAAUCUUUUACUCAGUCAAUUGCUGUCAUUUUGUUAAUUUUGUAAAGUUUUCUCAUAUCUCGUUGGAUUCCCUGUCUUGACACUGUUUAUUUCAUUUCUGUGACUGCUUGACUGUGUUUAGCCUUUUUUUUCAGCAUUCCUUCUGGUCACCCCUUGUAGAGCUGGCUUAGUAGUAGUAAAGUCCUUUUAUCUAUCCUUUGUAUGAAAGAUUUUAUUUUUCCUUCAAUUCUCAGGGAUAGUUUUGCUGAGUAUAAUAGUCUGGGUUGGGAAAUAUUAACUUUUUUUUAUAAAUUGGAAAUGUUCAUUUUCUGCUUUAUGGAAUACUUAAGGAGUAUUAGUGUUAAUUCCUUUUUUGAAUAUGUGGUAGAAUUUUGAGCUAAAUCCAUCUGGCCCUGAAUAUUUUAUUAAUUUAGAGAUUUUUUAAUUAUCAUUUGUAACCCACUUGUGCCAUGUUUCUAUCUAAAUUAUUUCUUCUUUUUUAAUCUUGAUUCAGCUCUGUUACCCCAUAUAUAUGUAGAAAUUGAUCCAUUUCUUUUAGAUGUUAUGGUUUGAUGGGAUAAAGAUUUUUAAAGUAUGUCAUUACAACUGUCUGAAUUUCCAUAGUGUCUGUUGCAAUCUCUCCCAUUUUAUCCCUAAUUUUGUAAAGUUAGAUUAAAAUGUGUUG
ensembl:antisense Mccc1os methylcrotonoyl-Coenzyme A carboxylase 1 (alpha), opposite strand